rnacentral:lncRNA from 1 species
AGCAGUGGGGAAAUUGGUUGAGUUUCAGAGCACGUCCUCCUCGGCAGAGGGGGCUGGACUAGACCUUGGACAGCCCCCCCAAAAACUUGCCGAGCCUCACACACCACUUCACUCUGCACUCCGAGGCUCAGGGAGCAAGUGUUUGGAGUGGGGGGGAAAGUUGGCUUUUUUUCCCCCUCCUUGGUCUUUAGCGCCCUUUUCUCUCCCUCAGAAGAGAAGAGCGACAUAAACUAUUUUAGACGCAAUCAAGGAAGAAUCGCCCAUCAUGUGGAAUUGAGCGGCAGUUUUAAAUGUACUAAGAGAAGACUGGUCUCGAAAAAAAAAAAAAAAAACAUUUUUUUCCCCUUCUUUUUUUGGAGACGCCUAAAGGAGCCUGUUUGUGUGCUGUGUGGCCACGUUCUGCUGUGACUGGAUCUUGUCUUCUGCCUGGCUCCUCGAUUUCCGUCCGGCUGGAUUUGGGGACAACACUGCCUGGCGCAGACAGAUCAAAUGACACUUCAAAGAAGCAUAAAAUGAACAGACUAUUCAAACAAAGGUAAUUUACAUUUUUUUAUUUGAUAAAACCUGACUGAUGUACAAAACGAAAAUAGAAUAUUGUUUACUGGAAAACAGGUCUACAAUCUCUCACACAUCUUCUCUUGCAACAGAUAGAAUUCCAGAAACAUCUAAGUUCCUCUGUGUACAGUUAUUUCUCCUGUAGGAGCCUUUGUAUGGAUGUAAUACACACAUAUAUGUAUAUGCAUAGAGCAUGACAUAAAUAAAACCUGCAAUAGCCUAUAAGAAAGAAGCUCCUAUUUAGAGGAAAGGGUAAGAUACUUUUAUUAUAAUGAAAGCCAGUUCACUUCAUCACUUGGACCAUGGACACUAAUGUAAAUAAAAUGGCUUAAAAAAUAAGACAAUAGUAGUAUUGACUGUAGACUACAAUUUGCACAUUUGUAAUUCUUAUAAAUGAAAUAUUUAAAAUGAUUUGGUGUUGGGCCAGUUCCUUAUGCAUUCUGCAUUCAUGUGUAUAGGAUUCAAAGACGUUCCAAAUAUUGAUCAUAAACCAAGUGUAUAUGAAUUAAUUAAAUAGCAUAUUUCUGGCCCAAAUAUGAGGAAAACCAUAACUUUUUACUGUAAAUCAGGAGAGAUUGUUUUAUCCCCAAAUAAACUAGGAUGUUUCAAGUCAUGUUUCAGCAAUUUGGAGACCUACAAACUAUCUGCAAGCAAGCACAACAACCAUACUCUAAUCUACUAGAUAGUAGUGAGAAUUUAGUGCUUGAAUUCAGGCUGCUUGAAUUCAGUAUAUCCUUCUCUAUGCUGAUUUUCAAGUAGAUAUUCUGUAGCUCAGCUAGAUAAUCUUUUAAAAGCAAAAAAAAAA